rnacentral:rRNA from 1 species
GUUCUACCUUGACGAAUUGUAGUUUAAAGAAGUGUUUUCUGUUAGAGGAGUAGCAAAAGUUCCUUGGAAUGGGACAUCAUAGAGGGUGAAAAUCCCGUAUUUGGUUAUUCUUUCUAGCUUUGUGAUACACUUUCAAAGAGUCGGAUUGUUUGGGAAUGCAGUCCAAAAUGGGUGGUAAAUUUCAUCUAAAGCUAAAUAUUGGCGAGAGACCGAUAGCGAACAAGUACCGUGAGGGAAAGAUGAAAAGAACUUUGAAAAGAGAGUUAAACAGUACGUGAAAUUGUCAAAAGGGAAGCGUUUGACACCAGUGUUGUUUUUCCGAAAAUCAAUUAAGAAGGGCUUGAUUUUGUGUUGUAUUGACCUUAUCAGCUUUCUUCACUCUUUUUCGAGUCUUUCUU